rnacentral:misc_RNA from 1 species
AAAAGAGGUGGCAGCUGAUGUAUUCUUAGGAGGCAUUAUCACAGACCUGAAAAGUGGAAUUAAGUUGCAUCCUAAUUAUUCUCUUAUCCAAGAUAGAUUGUAUUUUAAGGGCAGGUUGGCUAUUCCUUCAGAAUCUCAAUGGAUUCCUAAGUUAAUUUCGGAAUUUCAUGAUAUGCCUUCUGGUGGUCAUUCUGGGGCUUACCGUACUUAUCGUCGAAUGGCAUCGAAUUUCUACUGGAAAGGAAUGAUGGGAGCAAUCCAAAAGUAUGUUGCUGCAUGCCUAGUU